AAAUGUUAAAGUUCUUAUUUCAUGGUAUAACUUUCGUAUGCUUGGACCUAGAGUCUUCAAACUUGACAUGAAGGUUGGCCAGGAUUAACAGAUGACCACUGGUCAUUUCAAGGUCAUUCAUUUGAAGGUGAAGGUCACUGUGACCUUCAAUAUAAAAAUGUUAAAGUUGUUAUAACUUUGGUAUGCUUGGACCUAGAGUCUUGAAACUUGACAUGAAGGUUGGCCAGAACUAGUAAGUAACCACUGGACAUUUCAAGGUCAUUCAUUUGAAGGUCAAGGUCACUGUGACCUUGAAUGUAAAAAUGUUAAAGUUGUUAUAACUUUGGUAUGCUUGGACCUAGAGUCUUGAAACUUGACAUGAAGGUUGGCCAGAACUAGUAAGUAACCACUGGACAUUUCAAGGUCAUUCAUUUGAAGGUCAAGGUCACUGUGACCUUGAAUGUAAAAAUGUUAAAGUUCUUAUUUCAUGUUAUAACUUUGGUAUGCUUGUACCUAGAGUCUUCAAACUUGAAAUAAAGAUUGGCCAGUACUAGAAGAUGACCACUGGUCAUUUCAAUGUCAUUCAUUUGAAGGUCAAGGUCACUGUGACCUUAAAUGUUAAAAUGUUAAAAUUGUUAUAACUUUGGUAUGCUUGGACAUAGAGUCUUCAAACUUGACAUGAAGGUUUGCAAGCACACUUAGAUGACCACUGGUCAUUUCAAGGUCAUUCAUUCUAAGGUCAAGGUCACUGUGACCUUGAAUGUAAAAAUGUUAAAGUUCUUAUAACUUUGGUAGGUAAAAAUAUUAAAGUUCUUAUUCCAUGUUAUAACUUUGGUAUGCUUGUACCUAGAGUCUUCAAACUUGACAUAAAGGUUGGCCAGUACUAGAAGAUCACCACUGCUCAUUUCAAUGUCAUUCAUUUGAAGGUCAAGGUCACUGUGACCUUCAAUGUUAAAAUGUUAAAAUUGUUAUAAAAGUUUAUUUUCUUACAUUUGAUAAUGAAAUUGAUGGAAACUUCAAACAAUAUGUUACUAAUUUGCUAAUAAAAAAAUUGAGAUCAAACUUUCCUAAUUGUCAAUUCAAGUUCAUAUUUGUGACCUUAAAUGUUAUUGUUGUUCAUGUAUAUGCAUGCAUUCAAAACAUAACACAAGGUUUGCUCAUGCCUUGAAAAGUACUUACAUUUCAUUUUGACCUUUGAACAAUAUUUCAGUAAUUUAAGUAUUGCAUUGACAAAAACACGAAAGGUACUUUCCUGUCAUUUAAAUCAAAAAUCCGGCUUCAAUGCGGUCAUCUCCGACCGCGGAACUCUUGUUUGUUAUUUGUGACGCCCUUAACUUAAAACAGUAAUGUAAUGUUAUACAGUUCUGAAACUGUACAAACACAUUAACCAGCAGGUAAAUAUAUUUUUGACUCAACAGGAGUUAUUGCCCCAUUUUUAAGAUAACAUUUCCAUUGUUUAUGUUCUUGGGAAUUUGCUUACCUUGAUAUGUAUGCUCACUUUUUAUGUCCCCCACUAUAGUAGUGGGGGACAUAUUGUUUUUGCCCUGUCUGUUGGUUGGUCUGUUGGUCUGUUGGUUGGUCUGUUUGCGCCAACUUUAACAUUUUGCAAUAACUUUUGCUAUAUUGAAUAUAGCAACUUGAUAUUUGGCAUGCAUGUGUAUCUCAUGGAGCUGCACAUUUUGAGUGGUGAAAGGUCAAGGUUAAGGUCAUCCUUCAAGGUCAGAGGUCAAAUAUAUGUGGCCCAAAUCACUUAUUUUAUAAAUACUUUUGCAAUAUUGAAGAUAGCAACUUGAUAUUUGGCGUGCAUGUGCAUCUCAUGGAGCUGCACAUUUUAAGUGGCGAAAGGUCAAUGUCAAGGUCAUCCUUCAAGGUCAGAGGUCAAAUAUAUGUGGCCCAAAUCGCUUAUUUUAUGAAUAAUUUUGCAAUAUUGAAGAUAGCAACUUGAUAUUUGGCAUGCAUGUGUAUUUCAUGGAGCUGCACAUUUUGAGUGGUGAAAGGUCAAGGUUAUCCUUCACAAGGUCAAGGUCAUCCUUUAAGGUCAAACGUCAUAUAGGGGGACAUUGUGUUUCACAAACGCAUCUUGUUUCUUUAAUAAUUUGAUGUUUCAGACAAAUAUGGGGGCAUCAAUGUCCUACAGACAUAUUUAUAGCUGAAUAGAACAAGUGAUACAUACACAGUCAAUACAUUUUACAUUGCUUGUUUUGCUCAAAUACUAAAUUUGCAUAAUUGUCUCUGAUAUAGGUAAAUUAUUAUUGCAUGUUUUAUACAUUUUGCAUUUAAUUAAAAUCAUUGAUAUAUUUGUUAAUGGCAUUUUGUACAAUAGUUGUAAUGGUAUUUAUUCAAGCUACAACCUUCUUUUGCGAUGUAGAUCACUAUAGAUCUACAUGUAUGAAGCUUUAUUUAUUCAAGCUUUCAUACGUACUCCCAUGACAAUGGUAUUAAACAAGGUCAUGCACCCAUUUGUUGUAAUGAAAACUCUUGAUUUAUUGUGUAUUUAAUUUGUGUAGGUUUUUGAUGUGCAUCAUAAUGGUUUGAUUAAGGGUUGCUACUGCAAUGGAAAGGUUGAUGGAUAUUAUAUUUUGAAUAGUCCAAUUUGUCACUUCAGCUUUUUUGAAUUGAUAAGGGCACGGACUCUAGAUAAGAUAAAUAUGCUCCGUGAUUAGGGGAAUGAAGUGCUCACUAAAUCCUGAACAUUUGGUGAUCAUCUUCUGUACAUUUAGCGUCAUUGAGGUUUGUGGUUUAGGUUUUAUAAUCAGUUUAUUAUGUUUAUUAUGUUGCUUUGUUGAUUUGUUUUCGAUAAUUCCAAUGGAUACCUGUUGUGUAGAAUACUAGCAUGUAAACUAUCCCAUGGAGAGAGAAAGAUGAAGUUUGCACUACAGUAAUAUUAUUAUCUUUGGGUCAACAUCAAGUGAAUAGUGUUUAUACCGGUAAAACAUUUUGGACUUAAUUACAGAGCGAUUUCGGUGCUAUGUUUUAUAUAUGAAUACAAAACCUGAAGCAUUUUCAGUUUUUAUAUAUUUUGUUGAAAAUUUGUGAUUGUAAAAAGGCUGUUUAAUUCAUUAUAAAUAAAAACAAAUUUUGAAAGAACAUUAUCUUGAAUGAUAACACGAUGAAUUAAAUGUAACAAUUCCACCAAUCUGUUCGUGUUCAUAACACAUCAGUACAUUUGCUACAUGAUACCAUGACAUGGAUACUUUGUGUGUUUUUUUAUAUUAAAUGUCAUGAAUGAUACAAAAGCCUUCAUCUGUCUGUGGUAUUAUUAAGGAGUAAUGUUGCAAUUAUAUACCCGAUCAUUCAAAGAGGAGCUUUAUAUUAUUCAUUUCUUUUAAAUGUUUUAAUUAUUUCAUUUCACAGCCAAUUUGUUUACUCUUCAUUUCACUCGGCGCUAUAAAUGGACACUUUCUAAUGUUAUUCAAUUGCAACAUACAAAUAUAAGCAGGUUACAAGGAUGCAAGUAAAUGUUGCAUUUGUUAAUACCGAUGCUAACAUAAACAAUAUUUAAAAUGCAUUAUGUGUGAUAUUUAUUUUGUUGGGAUGUAAAAAGUUACUUAAACUUAAAUUAACUUAUUGAAUGUGACAUUAAAUAAAAAAAACUUUAUUAUAUCCUUAUAUGAGUGCUGUAAUGUAAUUACAUUUUUGUAAUAAUAUGCUUUUGUUGAUGAUGUUAAUUAGUUACAAUUUUGAUACGACUUAAGCAUUAAUAAUGCAAAAAAGAAUGAUACUCUUGAAACAAUUGAUGUGUUUAACUUUUUAAUUUGUCAAAUAAUUAGUCUUUUAAGAUGGCAAACAAACCAUCUAAUAAGACGACCCAGACUUGCACCUUUUUAUAAUUUCAAUAUAGAUAAACAUAUCUAUUACGUCUACAACAUACUUUAUAGCCCUCUGAUUCCAAAUAAACUUUUCGCAAGAUUAACAAACCAAGUGUGCACAUCAUUAAACUAUAUCCUUGUCUGUAGCAUCAAAGGUACUUAUUUGUUGGUGUAUUACCCUGUUUAGUGGUGACGCGCUAUUGAUUCCCGUCAUCAGCAUUUAAUUUUGUUUUAUGUGGGAGACAGCUUAAUUUAUAGUAUUAUUAUUCAUUCAAUUAAAAAGGCACCAACAAGGUUUUGGUUAGCCUUCUCUAGAAAAUGUAAUCGGUUAAUCGAUUGUUCAGUAGUUUAACCAGUUAGCCUGUUGCAUCCUUGUUAUUUGCAUGUUACAUUGAUGACUAUUGUGCUUUCUACCAUAAGCAGGGUGUUUUUAUGAUUGGUGAAUUAUUUGUGUUUUCUCUCUUAUGUAUUAGUCUGCACUUAUAAUUUAUUUAUUCUUUUACUUAUUCGCAUACAUUAUUGGUUUGGUUCUCAUAUAUAUGUCGUUUAUGUCACAUACAAUCAAUAAAAUGUUACAUUUUAAACUAUGGUUAAUUUUGAUUUUGUCAACUGCAUUGAAUCUUGCCACUUUUAUAAUGUUCUAUGAUAUAUCUAAACUCUGAUUCAUUGUUAUGUUAAAGGCUGAUGAAUGCAACUGUGUUUUUCCCACAAAAAGUAUGGAUUCUUAAAGCACUUAGAAAUUCCCCAUGACUUGCUUAAGAUAGUGAGUUGCUAUCAAUGAUUAUUUUUAUCAUCUGUGAAUUGUGUAGUAUUUAAAAAAAAAAUAAAGCUUACAUUUUUCA